AAAAAAAUAAGAGAACAAAUGGCCUUUUAAAAAUGUGCUAAAACAAGCAACUCUCUGUCAAAAAAGGAGCUAACAUGUGAGGCAUUCGUUUCCUGCAAGGGCUGUUUUUCCUGGGACAUUCAAAUCUCAAAAUACUGAUGGCCAAUUAAGGAAAUCAACUGGGUCCUGCUUAUACUUGCACUGCAAUUUGCUGCACAGCAUUAAAAUCUGACCUUUGAUUGGUUUUGAGUUGCAAUGAUUUAUCAAUAAUAUUUCCAUUGUAUAAUACCCUUGUAGGAGCUGAAUGUCUCUUAAUGAAGUAAAAUGCUUUUAUCAUUUAAAAUGCAUUAAAAUAUCAAUAAACUGCAUGAUUCCUCAAUUUUUUUACCAUUUAUUUUAGACCUUAAUAGAUACAUUUAGCAUUUUCUGGUGUGCCUUUCAAAGAUAUUUUUGGUCUGCAGAAAUCGACUGACAGGGUUUUGAAUUCUUGACAAAUAUGUGUGUUCUUUAAAAUUAGUCUGAUGCAUGAGCCACACACUUUCAAAACAUGAGGGCAAUCUGUAUGCAAAGAUGUAUAAUGGUCAGUGAUUUUUAACAAGGUUAAAAACAUGAAACAUGAGUAAACAAGUGUAAGUGAACAAUGGAAUAUUUCUACUUAAAAAUUAAAAAAUAAUUUGUCACUCCACAGGAUCAUUUAAGUUAACUGCAAAAAAGCUAAAAUGUGAUUUAAUAUAGUGAGAAACUUUGGUCAACAUUUCUUAAUUACAGCACCUAAAAUAUACGCUUUCCUUCAUACAUUCAUAUAUAUUAAAAAAGUUAAUAGACAUGGUAUUUGUCAGCUAACAAUUACAAUUAACAAUUAAACAUCUGCAUCAUAUAAGGAUACAUUUUACAUCUGAGUUACUACAUUAAAAUUUAUUUUGUGUGUUUUCCAAAUGUAUCAUUCAAUGUGUGACUCUGUACAACUUAUGCCAAUACUCUGGGCACUGGUAAAAAAAAUUCAUGUUACAGAUGCUUAUUGACCCUUUAUAUCUGCCCUUCGAAAAAUUGCAUGGCUCUGUAAAUUUUUUUUUUUUUAUUACGGGCCCCAUUUCAAGAGCGUUAAGUGCAGCGCUAUGCCAAAAGUCAUAAGCCCAAAGUCAGUGGGCAUGGCCAUGAAGUUUUGGUAUUUUCGUGCAAGCAUGCGCUAAGUCUAGGCGCAGGUGGGUUUGACGAAAUUGCGCAUGCGAAGUGCUAAUGAGCUGGGUCAAGUGCAGUUUAAUUCUGAGGUUCUUCUCCGUUUAUUAUAUAGUCCAUUGCCUGUCAAGCACCAGCGAUAUAAACAAAGUCAGCACAUUCAUAAUAACUUGGUAGUUAGGGCUGUCACGAUAAUGAAAUUUGCCUGACGAUUAAUUGUCAAACAAAUCAUUGCGAUUAUGACUAUUAAUUGUCUGUUUUAGGGCUAUGACGAUUAUUUGUCUCUUUUAGGGCUUUCACGAUAAAUCGUCAUAUUUCUUAAGGUGCAUGUGUGCUUCAUACACCUUAAGUCAUUUUUACAUAUUUCACUUCAAAUAUAUAAAUAAAAUAAUAAAAUGUGGAUAUAUGAUUUCCUUUUAAGGCUUUAAAAACUUAUGCAUUAAAAUCUGACCUUUGAUUGGUUUUGAGUUGCAAUGAUUGACAUGAAAAAUAAAGUUUUUAAAAUCAAAAUCAUUCUAAAUACUUCAAAUAUGUAUUUAUUUUUUUGGGUCAACUUUACAUUUAAACUUGUUUUUGCAACUCAUAUUUUAUAUAUUUUUUUAUAAAUUAUUUUAUUAUAAUUAUAUUUUAUGCAAUAUUAAAAUAUUUUUGUAACAUUUUCUUCACUUUCACAUGUUAUUUUAAUGCAUUUAAUUAAACCCAUAAGCCUUUAUUUCUCAUGAAGUGAAAUCUUUGGGAUUUUGUUUCAUUAUUUUAUCACUCCACAGAAAGUGUGCGUAUUCACUACGUCAUUAACACUACAUGUACGAACCUGCUAUGACCAGGAACAUUUGCUAUUACACGAUUGUUUAAAUUGAAACUGGAGCAUUUUACCUUCACUAUCAAAGUUUAUAUUUGUUCGUUUUUAUUUUUGCGCGAGUUUUGCGUGAGCCACUGCUGACAGUGCAUGCAUCAGAACGCUUGAAGCGCUUUACGUGCUCUUCUGAACAGGAGCUGCUCUGGGGUGCAUUUCCUAAAAGCAUCGUUAGCCAACUAUGGUCAUAAGUUCCAUCGUUACCAACAUAGUUCAAUGAUUUGGUGUUUCCCGUAACCGUAGUUCGCAAACAGCAUCACAAAGUCAUGUGGUUUGAACUACAGCUCUUUGCCUGUGGUUAGAAGCAUAGUUCCUUGUUUGUUUGCUGUGUGGACAUCAUUUGACUUUGCUGAAGCUUCUAUAUCUUUUGUUCCAUAUAUUUUUUUUUUCAUUCUGUCAAGACGUUUAUAUGCCUUAAAAAAAAAAAAAAAUGACUUGUUCAGGGUUUUGCAGAAAGCGGCAUUCUGAAGCGUAAUUUAAACAUGCAGACGUUUAAGGAAUUAAAAGCCGUUAAGAGAAAGUGCUUUAACUCAAGCAGUUUCUGUUGUAGAACAUGGCUUCUGGGUCCAUGUUAACACAAGUGGCAUUUUUAGCUGCAUUCCAAAUGGGAUAAAUCAGCCUCUGAAGGGAGGGAGAACAGUCAUAGUGACACUAUCCUUUUAUUUGCAUGCAAAAUGUGGUUCUUGUCAGGAUUUGUAUUUACUAUCCAUUAAAUAAUAGUGUAUAAGUAUUUUUAAUCAUUUUCACUUGACACAAAUCAUUGCUAGUAUUAACAGUGAUUUUAUCGGAAUGCACUCUACUUCUACCGGGUUGAUUUUUAAAAAUGUAAAUAUAUUUAUUGCAAAAUGAAAAAAUUCAACCAAAUAUAUUUUUUAAUUCAAAGUACACUAAAUGAAAUGAAAAUAUAAUUAACGAAUCCAAACAUUUUACUCUCUCCAACUUCUUCCACCGGCCCCUUUUGCAGUGACUUAAAAAUCACUACGACAACAGGUGGAAAAAUACCAAUAUAAAUUAGAUCUUAAAUACAUUUGUAAAUGUACACAAAAAUAAUAAUUGAAAAAUAAACCAUGAUAGUUUAACACAAAUAUCAUAACAUUUAGUUUCAUGAAAUGAAACAACUGUGAUUGUCAGGGAUAUAAUUUGAUGUUCCACUAUAUUUUAAGAGUUUAGACAUUAACUCUUAUCACCUGCUAAAGGAAUCUCCAAAGUGCAAAGGCAGGAACUGAAUUUAGACUUUGCGGUGAAAAGAGAUGUGGUGCUGAAACGUCUUGGCGCAAUGACCCAUUUCUCACGAAAAUAGUAAUUUGCGGCACUUCAUUAACUUAACAUUAACAAACACUCUCACCCACAGCCACAUGCGCUUUGCGCUGGCACAAAAAUAAUAAUAAAAUUGAUAAGAUGUAAUCAAAAGCUUUAUUUAAUAUAUUUGCAACGUAAACAAACAUUUCUGACUUCUACAUUGAUAAUUGUCCAAAAUACAGAAGGAGCAGGCAUUUAGGACAAAAUCCAUUGAUAUUUCUCACUUGGCACUGAUAGUUUAGCAUGAAUACAUCACUUCCAAUCACGUGGUCGUAUAUGAUCUAGUCUCUCAACUUGAAAUAUGUAAUUGCAGCCAAAGCUAAAAUCAGAUCUGAAAAUGUCACACCCAGAGAUGGUCGGAACCCCACACAGGCCCUCUGUGGCUCUCCAUUGGAAAUGAAUGACUUCCAAAUAUCAUCUGUCGUUUGUCUGAAGCAUUGAAAAGGUGGCUUUUUAAGAGUUUCAGAAAUAACAAUAUUAAAAUAACAUUGUAUAACUAGGUUUAGGUCAUAGAUUACAUUAGUGUUCAUUAUGAUAGCAUUAGUUAUUGUUUGUUGUUGCCAUAAAAUGUGUGUGAGAAUGUUUUUAUACAUCUGCUGUGCUUUAGAGCUGUAAUGCUUCAAUUCUCCUGCUUCCUUUCAUGGUACAGUUUAUGGAGUGAAAAGUACACUCACAUUUUCAUCAUGUUUUUCCAUAAAUUUCUCUUUCCCAGUUUCUGUUUCUAAUUUUCUUUGUCCUUCAUAUUAGCAGUUUUCAAUGUGAUUAACUCCUGUGAUGUGUUGAUUGAAAUGUCUUGAAAAGAGAAUAAAGAGAUCACUGAAUAUUUGGCCAAUGAGACUUUGCAGCAUCAGCCUUUAUUUCCCAAAGUCUCAUAUCCAGUUCAACAAUGCAGAUCAUUGUCACUCCACCUCUAAUUGAAAAUAUUUACCUUCUCCCUUCUGUAACUGAGCCUUGAUGUAGCCAAAACUAAUCUACUUUCUCCACCGGCCUUCUGUUUAGUGAGAUGAGGUUCUUUUGUGCUAAUAAGAUAACCUGUCCCUUAAAUCUGGGAUUUAUUUUUUUUUUUUUUUGUCCUCUGUAAAUUUUAUAACAAAUGUUAUGCUAUUGCCAAAAUUCAGAUGCUGACAUGUAUUUAUAUUGACAAUUAGAUCCACCUCGGAGACUAAGAGGCUUGUUAAAUGUUAUUAACAUUCUCUCAAACAACUUCAAACAUCACAGUCCUGCUGUGCCAUGAUUGACUUUUGAACUUGCAACUUUUUCCACUCCUGAACUACUUGAACAUGUUGUUUGCUUUGUUGACUCCACAUUUGAUCUUGGCAGGUUGACUCAAGAUUGAGUAGAAAAAGCAGGCGAAUGGAUAGUGAAAGAGACAGAGCUCACAACAAAAACAAGUGUGUGCUGUCCUCUCUGUCCGAUCACACACAAUCAAGACAUGUGUGUGCUUUAACUCACGCACCUGGUCCAUGUUCUAAGUUGAAAAACAGACUGACACAAGUGUCAGGGACAAAAACAAGUUGGCCAUCCUCACGUACUAAUAGAGGGAGAAAAUGAAAGAAAAAAAACAGUCGAAUGUAAAGCUUGAUCCUGACCUAUGUGUGCAGUUGGUCAGCCUUUUGUCCUCGUUGCUCUCCCUCCAUCUUGGUUUGUUCAGCAGAAAAGAGGAAUGGAAAUAAGUGUGGAAGCUCUUUGCGUGGAGCAACUCGUAAAAUGAUGCACAAGAUUUUCCUUUCAUUUAAAGGGGAAACAAAAUGAUUUAUUUUGGAAAAAGAAACUUUUAGGAUAGGCAAUUCUAUAUAUUUGUGGAUUGAUGUCUUUUCUUAAUUCUCAAGGACGCACAAAAUAGUUUUAUAAUACCAUGCUGGGCAAAAAACAUCAUGCAUACAAUGGGUACAUUACCUAUCUUUAGAGGAAAACCCUCCAUUGUACUGCUACUUAUGGGUGCCUUAUGUGUACUGCAAUUAAAGUAAAAAAUAAAAUAAAAAUGUGCUUAAGAUGAAAGCAUUGGAGGGGGAAAAAAAAACAAUGUCUUCUAUUACUGUAUGAGGAACUCAAAUGUUGGAUUUGUCCAGUUAUUCACAAAAAAGUGCUCUGUAAAUGUGUGCUUUGUUUAAAAAGAAAACGUGAAAGAAGUUCAGACAA